rnacentral:lncRNA from 1 species
GUGCUCCUAAUUUCCACGGUUACGCGUUAUGGGUGAUUAAAACUGACAGGAGUGGACAGUGGUUCCAUGGCCAGGAUGGGCACGGGUUUGCUGACCAUUCCUCAGGAGUCAUCACACCAGGAAGCCGGGACAGGAACAAGAUGUGCCUCUGAGAAUGCAAGUCCCUACCUGCCCCAGGACCUUUGCACAUGCAGUUGCUCUACCUGAAAUGCUCUUCCUCCAGAUCUUCCCCACUUCGCCUAUUUGUACCAGCAGGACUCAGAUCAAAUGGCAAUCAGCUUCCUGAGGACAGAGAUCUUGACUGUCUCAUUCACUGCUGUAUCCCCAGGACCUAGGACACUGCUGCCCCAUUCCCAACAACACUGAUUGGAAAGUGAAGCUCAACCCCGUUGACCACGUCGACCCAUUGACUCGGUUUUCCUCCUGGGAAUACGUUUGGGGCAAUGCCCAGACCAGUCCUCAGUACCCUCACAGUGCCUGACGCUGCUGGACAAGACACAGCCAAGCCCUCUGUCAAAUCUCAACCCAGAGUCCUCCUCCACCAGGAAGACUUCCAUGAUUGCUCCAGCCCCUGCACCAUCUCUCU